rnacentral:rRNA from 1 species
CCUACGGGAGGCAGCAGUGAGGAAUAUUGGUCAAUGGGCGGGAGCCUGAACCAGCCAAGCCGCGUGAAGGAUGAAGGUUCUAUGGAUCGUAAACCUCUUUUAUAAGGGAAUAAAGUGUGGGACGUGUCCUGUUUUGUAUGUACCUUAUGAAUAAGGAUCGGCUAACUCCGUGCCAGCAGCCGCGGUAAUACGGAGGAUCCGAGCGUUAUCCGGAUUUAUUGGGUUUAAAGGGUGCGUAGGCGGCCUUUUAAGUCAGCGGUGAAAGUCUGUGGCUCAACCAUAGAAUUGCCGUUGAAACUGGGAGGCUUGAGUAUGUUUGAGGCAGGCGGAAUGCGUGGUGUAGCGGUGAAAUGCUUAGAUAUCACGCAGAACCCCGAUUGCGAAGGCAGCCUGCCAAGCCAUGACUGACGCUGAUGCACGAAAGCGUGGGGAUCAAACAGGAUUAGAUACCCCAGUAGUC